UUGACCUGGCGGCAGGCUCACACAUGCAAGUCGAACGGUAACAGGAAGCAGCUUGCUGCUUUGCUGACGAGUGGCGGACGGGUGAGUAAUGUCUGGGAAACUGCCUGAUGGAGGGGGAUAACUACUGGAGACGGUAGCUAAUACCGCAUAACGUCGCAAGACCAAAGAGGGGGACCUUCGGGCCUCUUGCCAUCGGAUGUGCCCAGAUGGGAUUAGCUAGUAGGUGGGGUAACGGCUCACCUAGGCGACGAUCCCUAGCUGGUCUGAGAGGAUGACCAGCCACACUGGAACUGAGACACGGUCCAGACUCCUACGGGAGGCAGCAGUGGGGAAUAUUGCACAAUGGGCGCAAGCCUGAUGCAGCCAUGCCGCGUGUAUGAAGAAGGCCUUCGGGUUGUAAAGUACUUUCAGCGGGGAGGAAGGCGAUAAGGUUAAUAACCUUGUCGAUUGACGUUACCCGCAGAAGAAGCACCGGCUAACUCCGUGCCAGCAGCCGCGGUAAUACGGAGGGUGCAAGCGUUA
rnacentral:rRNA from 1 species